rnacentral:rRNA from 1 species
GAUGAACGCUGGCGGCGUGCCUAACACAUGCAAGUCGAACGAAGCACUUGAAUGGAAUUCUUCGGAAGGAAGCUUAAGUGACUGAGUGGCGGACGGGUGAGUAACGCGUGGGUAACCUGCCUCAUACAGGGGGAUAACAGUUAGAAAUGGCUGCUAAUACCGCAUAAGCACACAGCGCUGCAUGGCGCAGUGUGAAAAACUCCGGUGGUAUGAGAUGGACCCGCGUCUGAUUAGCUAGUUGGUGGGGUAACGGCCUACCAAGGCGACGAUCAGUAGCCGACCUGAGAGGGUGACCGGCCACAUUGGGACUGAGACACGGCCCAA